GAUGAACGCUAGUGACAGGCUUAACACAUGCAAGUCGAGGGGCAGCGGGGGCGUAGCAAUACGCCUGCCGGCGACCGGCGCACGGGUGAGUAACACGUAUGCAACCUGCCCGUCACAGGGGGAUAAGCGGAAGAAUUCCGUCUAAUACCGCGUAGCACCUGCGGAGGGCAUCCUCUGCAGGUUAAAGAAUUUCGGUGACGGAUGGGCAUGCGGCGCAUUAGCUAGUUGGCGGGGUAACGGCCCACCAAGGCGACGAUGCGUAGGGGUUCUGAGAGGAAGGUCACCCACACUGGUACUGAGACACGGACCAGAAUCCUACGGGAGGCAGCAGUGAGGAAUAUUGGUCAAUGGGCGCGAGCCUGAACCAGCCAAGUCGCGUGAGGGAAGACGGCCCUACGGGUUGUAAACCUCUUUUGUCGGGGAGCAAAUGCGCCACGUGUGGCGCUGCGAGAGUACCCGAAGAAAAAGCAUCGGCUAACUCCGUGCCAGCCGCCGCGGUAA
rnacentral:rRNA from 1 species